UGAGGAACAUGACCUUCGGCGGGGGAUAGCCGGCCCAACGGCCGGGUAAUACCGCGUACGACCACAUGGGGACAUCCCUGAGCGGUGAAAGCAGCAAUGCGCCGAUGGAGUGCCUCGCGGCCUAUCAGCUAGUUGGUGAGGUAACGGCUCACCAAGGCGACGACGGGUAGCUGGUCUGAGAGGAUGGCCAGCCACAGUUGGGACUGAGACACCGGCCCAGACCUCGUACGGGGAGG
rnacentral:rRNA from 1 species